UUUAUAUGAAACCAAAAUAAAUUGUAGGAUAAGAUAUAAUACUUUAGCUUAUAGAAGUUUUUUUUUGAGAGAUAGAUAGCACGCUACCCGCUUCGUUUAUUUUAUUUAGAAAUAAACUUAGCUGGAAAUGUGAAUCAACUAGGAUUCGAAUCUGGGUUUCGGGUACCAACUACCAAGCUCUUUGCCACUUGCUCUAGAGACGGUUGGUUUUAGCUGAUAGAAGUUAACAUAAUACAGAUGGACUAAAUCAAGUUUACAUGUAUUGAUCUUAAUCUGAUGCAAACAAUAAUAAUUUUGGUGGAAGUGACCAACCGUCCCUAUAGCAAGUGGCAAAGAAUUUGAUGGUUGAUAUCCGAGACCCAAAUUUAAAUCCCACAGCUAAAUUUAUUUCUAAAUAAAAUAAACGAAAUAAAUAGCAUCCUCUCUAUCUCUCAAAAAAGAAAAAAAAAAAUUUGGUGGAAGUGAGGUUGCGUGUUGGGGUUGGAAUUUGGGUAGGUUGGAGAAGUUGAAGAAAACGAAGAAUAGAAGAGUUUAGAAGGAGUAUGAUAGUACGAAGAAGUAGGCAGCUUGAAUUGUGCCACACUCCAUCAAAACAUGUGGUGGGAGCUGAUGUUGCGGGACACAAGCAUUUUUAGUGUAUUUCUAGUUCCCAAGUUUGAACAGAGAAAACAGCGAUGGGGGAGAUGCACCCGCCAAUAAUAGGACAAAAAAGUUUUGUAGACAUAUACUCCCCAAUAUUUGAGAAUUGUCUGAAGGGUUCUUCAACGUUCAUAGCACAAGGUAGUAAAAGAUUUAAUGAUUAAUUUCGAAGUUUCAAAUUCAAAGUUUAAAUGUUUUAUAUUUGCAGCUAAGAUUAAAAAUACUAACACAAUGAUUUGUUUGACACCAAAAAAAAAAAAAAAAUCAAGAAAAUAAAUUUUUAAGAAAAUAACAUUCGGUUUAGAAUUUAUGCAUAGGAAAAGGUUUAAAUGCAACAGUUAUAUGAAUAAUAUGAUAUUUUCUGCCAAUCAAAUUGCUCUUUUAUAAUUCACUCAUCCCAUCAUAGUUUUUAGAAAAAAAUGGGCAAAAUUAUAAAAAAUACUCUUGUAAAUAUUGGUUUUUUAACUUUUCAUUCUUGACCUCCAAAAAAUCUAUAUUUUACUUCCUUCAAGAAGGUACGGCAUUAACGAAGAGGGCAAACUAACCAAAUUGUCUUUAUAUCUUCUAUAAAGAAAAAUAAAAUUUUAAUAUAUUUUUGUCAUUUCAAAUUUUAAAUUUUAAAUUUCAAAUUUCAAAUUUCAAAAUUUAAAUUUUCAAUUUAGCUUUUAAAUUAAAAGUUUAAAUUUAAAUUUAAAAUUUAAAAGCUAAAUUAAAAUUUUAAAUUUUCCAAUUUUAAAUUUUAAAUUUUAACUUUGAAAUUUAAAAAUUAAAUUUAGAUUUAAACAUUUAAAUUUUAAAAUUAUUUUUUAAAUUAAAAUAUCAAAUUUUAAAUUUUGUACACUUUUGAAAAUUAAAAAUUUUAAUUUUAAUUCAAAUUUAAAUUUAAAAUUUAAAUUAUUUUAAAAUAAAAUUUAAUAAAAAUAUUAAUUUAUGCAAACAAUAAAAAUUUUUUUUACCAAAUAGUUUUAUAAAAUCACUUCAGAAAAAUCAUUUUUAUCUAAACUCAGCCAAACACUCUACAACUUUUAACCAAAAUCACUUCUCCAAACCAAAAUUAAUUCUGCAAAAAACACUUUUCUAGAAUCUAAGCCAAACAAACCCAAAUAUACAUCAUACAUAUGAAAGAGAGUCUAGCUACUAUACUCUCGAGCAUAGACCCUUUUCAUACUCAUAAGUUAUUUUUUGAUGAUGAACGAACGAUCAAACUUGAAGAACCUUCUAAAAAUAAAUGAAUUUUUUAAUUCAAGACCGAAGUUACUAAUUUUUAUUUAAAUAAUAAAUAAAAUUUUCUGUCAAAAAUUCAAUAAAUUUUGAUUCUUUUACAUCUCUAAAUUAGCAACCAUUCCAUAUCGGUCGUUAAAAGUUGUAAAUUUUAAGAUCUUUUGAUCGUAGGGUGAAUAACGUAAAAAAAAAAGUUAUAAAAUUUAAUUUCGACACAUUUUAAAUACUCUAAAUCAUAUUUAAUGGUCCGAAUCAAGAAUUUAGGUGUUGUGGCACGAAAUCGUGUCGGAAACUUACCGGCCGAGCCGUGCCGGUGCGUGCCGGUAAAAAAUAUUCUUGUGUGCCGAUACAUAAUAGCAUGAAAUAUUUAUUUUCUUUAGCAAUAAAAUAUUCUAACUAUUUAUUAUGUCUUUUUAUCUCAUCUUUUAAACUUUAUUGAGAAAAUUACUUAUUAAUUUAAAGAAUAGAAAAUUUUGAGCUGUGCCAUCGGCACGGAGUCUGUAUCGUGCUGGUAUCUUGUUGGCACGAUACGGCACGAUGGAUACGGCCCUUGCCGACGGACACUUAAAAUCUUGGUCCGAAUCGUUGAUUCGAAAACUUUAUCGUCGAAAAUGAUUUGAGUACAGAGACAAUCGUACUUAUAAAAGUAUCGUAACCGGACUCUAAAAAAUAGAUAAUUAUUCUUAGUUCCCCGCUUAAAAGUUUUCUCAAUCAAAUCGAAAUUGAAACUGAGAACCAAAAUAUCAAAUCAAAUUAAAAAACCAAAUAAAGUGAAUCAAAUAGCUUUAAUUUGCUUUGGUUUGGUUUGCGGUUUUGGAACCAAAAAUGAACCCUCCUAGAGAGAGAGAGAGAGAGAGAGAGAGAGAGAGAGAGAGUUGAGAGUCGAGAAUUGAAGUUGAUUUUGUCAAGCAGGGUCAGAAACUUUUAACUCAUUCAAUACCAUGCAACUUUCACCUUAUUUAACAUUUUGUCACUAAAAUAUGUUUUUGGUAAAACUUACGUACUUAUCUAAAUUACGAAUCAUCGACUUACCGAUCUUUUAAAAUUUUAAUUUUACUAUUGAAACUUCUAAUUUGUUUGAUCAGAGACCGUCAACAGCACCUUAACUAUAAAAUUUAAACUAAUUACUUCUUUUAAAUAAUUACAGUUACAAAAAUUACAUAAAGUAUAUAAUAAAUUAAUAAAAAUAAAUAAUAUAUUCAAGUUUUGAAGUCAAAGUGCUUUUAAGCAACCUAGAAAUAAUUGAUUAAAUAUUAUCAUUUCUACAUGAAACAACUACGAGAAAAAAGACAACCUAGCAAGAUUUAAGAAACAUUGGUCAAAAUACAGCAGCUUUGGCAUAUAACAAUCGUUUCAUAUUACCCACCGUAUCAAACAUAGUUGGUACAUAAGAUUUCAAUUUCAAAACCGGAUUGAUUCAUAUUUCUGAGUUCAUUUUUUUUAAAAUAAAAUAAACAAAACAAAUAAUUUAUUACCUUUCGCUCAAGAAACUAAAAAAGAAAACAAUCAUUUCAUAUUUAGUAAACUUUAUCCAGAAACGUGCACUGCACUACAAAAAUCUCAGUUGAGAAUCACAAACUAAUGCCUUUCACCGGAAAAUUUUGUUCUUUUGAAAGAUCACAAGGCACUAAAAAACAAAAGAGUAAAACUAAAUGCAACCAACNCACUUCUCCAAACCAAAAUUAACUCUGCAAAAAACACUUUUCUAGAAUCUAGGCCAAACAAACCCUAAUAUACAUCAUACAUAUGAAAGAGAGUCUAACUACUAUACUCUCGAGGAUAGACCCUUUUCAUACUCAUAAGUUAUUUUUUGAUGAUGAACGAAAGAUCAAACUUGAAGAACCUUCUAAAAAUAAAUAAUCGAAUUUUUUAAUUCAAGACCGAAGUUAAUGAUUUUUAUUUAAAUAAUAAAUAAAAGUUUCUAUCAAAAAUUCAAUAAAUUUUGAUUCUUUUACAUCUCUAAAUUAGCAACCAUCUCAUAUCGGUCGUUAAAAGUUGUAAAUUUUAAAAUCUUUUGAUCGUAGGGUGAAUAACGUAAAAAAAAAAGUUAUAAAAUUUAAUUUCGACACAUUUUAAAUACUCUAAAUCAUAUUUAAUGGUCCGAAUUAAGAAUUUAGGUGCCGUGGCACGAAAUCGUGCCGGAAAUUUACCGGCACGGUACCGCACGGUGCGUGCCGAGCCGUGCCGGUGCGUGCCGGUCAAAAAUAUUUUUGUGUGCCGACACAUAAUAGCACUAAAUAUUUAUUUUCUUUAACAACAAAAUAUUCUAACUAUUUAUUAUAUCUUUUUAUCUCAUCUUUUAAACUUUAUUGAGAAAACUACUUAUUAAUUUAAAGAAUAGAGAAUUUUAAGCUGUGCCAUCGGCACAGAGUCUGUAUCGUGCCGGUAUUUUGUUGGCACGGUACGGCACGAUGGAUACGGCCCGCUCCGACGAGCACUUAAAAUCUUAUUCCGAAUCGUUGAUUCGAAAGCUUUAUUGUCGAAAAUGUUUGAGUAUAAAAACAAUCGUACUUAUAAAAGUGUCGUAACCGGACUCUAAAAAAUAGAUAAUUAUU
rnacentral:lncRNA from 1 species